rnacentral:rRNA from 1 species
UACGUAGGGUGCAAGCGUUGUCCGGAAUUAUUGGGCGUAAAGAGCUCGUAGGCGGUUUGUCGCGUCUGCUGUGAAAAACCCGAGGCUCAACCUCGGGCCUGCAGUGGGUACGGGGCAGACUAGAGUGCGGUAGGGGGAGAUUGGAAUUCCUGGUGUAGCGGUGGAAUGCGCAGAUAUCAGGAGGAACACCAAUGGCGAAGGCAGAUCUCUGGGCCGUAACUGACGCUGAGGAGCGAAAGCAUGGGGAGCGAACAGGA